rnacentral:lncRNA from 1 species
UUUAUCUGUUAUCUUUAUAUUUAAAAGUAUUAUUCUGAGAGGCAAGUCCAUAACCACCAAAGUGCCCUAGGGGUACAGUACAAAACCUGGUCAGGAGUCCCCUGCUCUACUGUCCUGGGGAAAAUUCCUAACUAGAUCGACUUUCACGUUAUGCAGAAAGAGUAGCAACCUGUAUAUUCUUCUUAAGGGCUGCCGCCGUUUUAAGAGCUGAAAACAACUAUUUUCUAAAUUCAUCGUGUAUGUUCUCAGUAUCAGGCAGUUUUACUCCAUCUGUUAACAGCCCUCAACUUAUUUGCGAUUGCUCAUCCAGGCAUGGAGAUAUCGCUUAAUUCUCAGAAAUACAGAGGCUGAACUGCACACAUCAGAGAUGCUUAUUUGCUUCUUGAGAAAGCAAACACAUGAGAGCUAAUGAUGCUCCUUUUAAAGGUGUCAAAAUCUGAGUUGUAGGCCCAGCGGUAGUAGCACAGGCCGGUCAGGUGCUUAGCACUGAGCCUUGCUUAGUAAAUACUGAAAUACAAAAUUUGUAACGACCCGAGGCGAGACAACAAAGCAUGUCAUAUCAUGCCAGCCCACAACGACUUCCAGUUUCCUGCAGGUCACAUCCAAAGCCCUUGCGAGUGUCUACAGGGUCGGAGGUGGUCUGCGCGUGCUCCCACCUCCAGGCCUCGGCGCUGGAGAUUUCCCCUCCACGUGGCUCCUUAGCCGCAUUUCUCCAGUGUCAAUCACCGGCGCUGCUGGGCUUUCCUAGUCUUCCCGGUUUGUUCGUUUUCCUCCAAGUGCUUAUCAUGAUUAUUUUACUUAUUUAGUGCUUCAUGGUCGUAAGCUUCUCGAAGGGCAGGGAUCACUUGUCUUUUCUUCUCGGAUCGGCUUCCAGCACUUCGAACGGUCUCUGGAGAGGCAGCCCGAGGUCUCCUGAUAAGCUUCCUAAAGGUGAGUUUCAAGGAACUAAUCCAUAUUCGUCUACUCAGAUACAACAUCCAGCCAGCGGCCUGUUUUCCUUGAAUUUAUCUUUAGUGUUACCUGCUGUGUUUCGGCCUUUGACAUGUGGAGAUCAUGGCCCCCCUGCUUGGGAUGGACUGCAAGGGAUCUAACAUGAAGAAGACUGAGCCCAGGAAACAGACUGUGAGCACUCCCACCCCAGGACCUGGGCUAAGAAACAGAGUUUUGGAGUGAGAUGGAAGGAGAAUGGUAUGGAGUGUCCAUUCUUUAGGGAAGUGUGUCCUAGAACAAAAGCUCAGCCUUUGGUUUCCUCUCUCAUUCUCUGGUAAAAAAAAGGCCUCUAAGAAUAUAUGCAGAAUUUUUAGCGUGACAGUAUUAUUUUUUAUACAAGUUGGCACACUUUUGAGAGUGAAUGGAAACGUUAUUAAUAAUCACACCAGGGCAACAGGUAUAAACCAAGUCACCCUAAUACUAUACCAAGUGAUUUUCGUGCCAUAAACUCUCUCUCAAUGUUGGUCCUUCAUUUUAAUAACAGCUGUCUUUUCGUACUUGUUGCUUUCUGGGCACACCUUUACCAUACCCAGAGUUGACCUAUGUGAUCUCUUGCGUCCUUCUCAAUUACUUUCUUUAAAAAUUGGUUUUUUUAUUGGUUCAGUAUUUGGAUUAAAAAAAAAGCCUUUUGUUCUCUAAGGAUUGUUCACACAUUCCUUUAGUGGUACAUUUGGGAGAGAGAAAAAAGAAUAAAUUAGACAUAAAGUCAUGUCA